UUAAUAAAUGAACCCCAUAAAAUACACACAUAUGAACAAACAAGCAAGAAAAAAAGUAAACAAAUUUAUAAAUAAUCGUAUUCUGCACCAAUAAAUAUCCCCACCACCCACCCUUCAAAAAUAUGUAUGAUUGCGAUGCUGUUGGUGUAAUGCAGAGCAGUUUAAUGUGAUAAAACAAUAUUAGAGUGGGGGGCUGCCUGGCUGAUGUGUCCCCAUUCGAUGUAGGAGGCGUUAGUAAAAGAUAGAUGAUCUGAACACCAGGAGGAGUACAGCCCAGCUCCCUGCAGUUGCUUGAAAACACAGUCUUUCUAUUUUCUUUACAGCCACAUUGUUCUCGAGUCUUCUAGAACACUGUGUACUAUCAGAGUUCAGGGCUAAGAAUGUUAUUGACCGCAAGGAGGAUCCUUCCACAGCCCGGCCCAUUCAUUUCCUCCUCAGACUGUAC